rnacentral:rRNA from 1 species
AUUGAACGCUGGCGGCAGGCCUAACACAUGCAAGUCGAACGAGUGGCGGACGGGUGAGUAAUGUCUGGGAACCUGCCUGAUGGAGGGGGAUAACUACUGGAAAAGGUAGCUAAUACCGCAUCCACUGGGAUGGGCCAAGAUGGGCUUAGCUAGUUGGUGGGGUAAAGGCGCACCAAGGCGAAGGUCCCUAGCUGGUCUGAGAGGAGGACCAGCCACACGGGAACUGAGACACGGUCCAGACUCCGACGGGAGGCAGCAGUGGGGAAUUUUGGACAAUGGGCGCAAUCCUGAUGCAGCCAUGCCGCGUGUAUGAAGAAGGCCUUCGGGUUGUAAAGUACUUUCAGCAGUGAGGCGUUACCCGCAGAAUAAGCACCGGCUAACUCCGUGCCAGCAGCCGCGGUAAUAC